UGUUAUCACGGGAGACACACGGCGGGUGCUAACGUCCGUCGUGAAGAGGGAAACAACCCAGACCGCCAGCUAAGGUCCCAAAGUCAUGGUUAAGUGGGAAACGAUGUGGGAAGGCCCAGACAGCCAGGAUGUUGGCUUAGAAGCAGCCAUCAUUUAAAGAAAGCGUAAUAGCUCACUGGUCGAGUCGGCCUGCGCGGAAGAUGUAACGGGGCUAAACCAUGCACCGAAGCUGCGGCAGCGACGCUUAUGCGUUGUUGGGUAGGGGAGCGUUCUGUAAGCCUGUGAAGGUGUGCUGUGAGGCAUGCUGGAGGUAUCAGAAGUGCGAAUGCUGACAUAAGUAACGAUAAAGCGGGUGAAAAGCCCGCUCGCCGGAAGACCAAGGGUUCCUGUCCAACGUUAAUCGGGGCAGGGUGAGUCGCCCUGAAGCAACAAAUGCCCUGCUUCCAGGAAAAGCCUCUAAGCAUCAGGUAACAUCAAAUCGUACCCCAAACCGACACAGGUGGUCAGGUAGAGAAUACCAAGGCGCUUGAGAGAACUCGGGUGAAGGAACUAGGCAAAAUGGUGCCGUAACUUCGGGAGAAGGCACGCUGAUAUGUAGGUGAAGUCCCUCGCGGAUGGAGCUGAAAUCAGUCGAAGAUACCAGCUGGCUGCAACUGUUUAUUAAAAACACAGCACUGUGCAAACACGAAAGUGGACGUAUACGGUGUGACGCCUGCCCGGUGCCGGAAGGUUAAUUGAUGGGGUUAGCGCAAGCGAAGCUCUUGAUCGAAGCCCCGGUAAACGGCGGCCGUAACUAUAACGGUCCUAAGGUAGCGAAAUUCCUUGUCGGGUAAGUUCCGACCUGCACGAAUGGCGUAAUGAUGGCCAGGCUGUCUCCACCCGAGACUCAGUGAAAUUGAACUCGCUGUGAAGAUGCAGUGUACCCGCGGCAAGACGGAAAGACCCCGUGAACCUUUACUAUAGCUUGACACUGAACAUUGAGCCUUGAUGUGUAGGAUAGGUGGGAGGCUUUGAAGUGUGGACGCCAGUCUGCAUGGAGCCGACCUUGAAAUACCACCCUUUAAUGUUUGAUGUUCUAACGUUGACCCGUAAUCCGGGUUGCGGACAGUGUCUGGUGGGUAGUUUGACUGGGGCGGUCUCCUCCUAAAGAGUAACGGAGGAGCACGAAGGUUGGCUAAUCCUGGUCGGACAUCAGGAGGUUAGUGCAAUGGCAUAAGCCAGCUUGACUGCGAGCGUGACGGCGCGAGCAGGUGCGAAAGCAGGUCAUAGUGAUCCGGUGGUUCUGAAUGGAAGGGCCAUCGCUCAACGGAUAAAAGGUACUCCGGGGAUAACAGGCUGAUACCGCCCAAGAGUUCAUAUCGACGGCGGUGUUUGGCACCUCGAUGUCGGCUCAUCACAUCCUGGGGCUGAAGUAGGUCCCAAGGGUAUGGCUGUUCGCCAUUUAAAGUGGUACGCGAGCUGGGUUUAGAACGUCGUGAGACAGUUCGGUCCCUAUCUGCCGUGGGCGCUGGAGAACUGAGGGGGGCUGCUCCUAGUACGAGAGGACCGGAGUGGACGCAUCACUGGUGUUCGGGUUGUCAUGCCAAUGGCACUGCCCGGUAGCUAAAUGCGGAAGAGAUAAGUGCUGAAAGCAUCUAAGCACGAAACUUGCCCCGAGAUGAGUUCUCCCUGACUCCUUGAGAGUCCUGAAGGAACGUUGAAGACGACGACGUUGAUAGGCCGGGUGUGUAAGCGCAGCGAUGCGUUGAGCUAACCGGUACUAAUGAACCGUGAGGCUUAACCUUACAACGCCGAAGCUGUU
rnacentral:rRNA from 1 species